GACGAACGCUGGCGGCGUGCUUAACACAUGCAAGUCGAACGGAAAGGCCCUGCUUUUGUGGGGUGCUCGAGUGGCGAACGGGUGAGUAACACGUGAGUAACAUGCCCUUGACUUUGGGAUAAAUUCAGGAAACUGGGGCUAAUACCGGAUAGGAGCUCUUGCUGCAUGGUGGGGGUUGGAAAGUUUCGGCGGUUGGGGAUGGACUAGCGGCUUAUCAGCUUGUUGGUGGGGUUGUGGCUUACCAAGCCUUUGACGGGUAGCCGGCCUGAGAGGGUGACCGGCCACAAUGGGACUGAGAUACGGCCCAGACUCCUACGGGAGGCAGCAGGGGGGAAUUUUGCACAAUGGGCGGACGUCAGAGGCAGCAACGCCGCGUGCGGGAUGACGGCCUUCGGGUUAUAAACCGCUGUCGCCGGUGACGAAGCGUGAGUGACGGUAAUGGGUAAAGAAGCAACGGCUAACUACGUG
rnacentral:rRNA from 1 species